rnacentral:rRNA from 1 species
AGAGUUUGAUCAUGGCUCAGAACGUACGCUGGCGGCACGCCUAACACAUGCAAGUCGAACGAAGUAGCAAUACUUAGUGGCAGACGGGUGAGUAACAUGUAGGUAUCUGCCCUUUGGCCUGGAAUAACACGAGGAAACUUGUGCUAAUACCGGAUAAGUCUUUACAGAGAAAGCUUUAUGCACCAUUGGAUGAGCCUGCACUUGAUUAGUUUGUUGGUGGGGUAAUGGCCUACCAAGACUGUGAUCAAUAGCUGAUUUGAGAGGAUGAUCAGCCACAUUGGGACUGAGACACGGCCCAAACUCCUACGGGAGGCAGCAGUGGGGAAUCUUGCACAAUGGAGGAAACUCUGAUGCAGCGAUGCCGCGUGAGUGAAGAAGGCCUUUGGGUUGUAAAGCUCUUUCGUCGGGGAAGAAAAUGACUGUACCCGAAUAAGAAGGUCCGGCUAACUUCGUGCCAGCAGCCGCGGUAAUACGAAGGGACCUAGCGUAGUUCGGAAUUACUGGGCUUAAAGAGUUCGUAGGUGGUUGAAAUAGUUGGUGGUGAAAUCCCAGAGCUUAACUCUGGAACUGCCAUCAAAACUUUUCAGCUAGAGUAUGAUAGAGGAAAGCAGAAUUUCUAGUGUAGAGGUGAAAUUCGUAGAUAUUAGAAAGAAUACCAAUUGCGAAGGCAGCUUUCUGGAUCAUUACUGACACUGAGGAACGAAAGCAUGGGUAGCGAAGAGGAUUAGAUACCCUCGUAGUCCAUGCCGUAAACGAUGUGUGUUAGACGUUGGAAAUUUAUUUUCAGUGUCGCAGCGAAAGCGAUAAACACACCGCCUGGGGAGUACGACCGCAAGGUUAAAACUCAAAUGAAUUGACGGGGACCCGCACAAGUAGUGGAGCAUGUGGUUUAAUUCGAAGAUACGCGCAGAACCUUACCAACACUUGACAUGUUCGUCGCGACUUUAAGAGAUUAAAGUUUUCGGUUCGGCCGGACGAAACACAGGUGCUGCAUGGCUGUCGUCAGCUCGUGUCGUGAGAUGUUGGGUUAAGUCCCGCAACGAGCGCAACCCUCACUUUUAGUUGCCAUCAUUAAGUUGGGCACUCUGAAAGAACUGCCAGUGAUAAGCUGGAGGAAGGUGGGGAUGACGUCAAGUCCUCAUGGCCCUUACGUGUUGGGCUACACACGUGCUACAAUGGUAUCUACAACAGGAAGCAAGACUGCGAAGUCAAGCAAAUCCUUAAAAGAUACCUCAGUUCGGAUUGCACUCUGCAACUCGAGUGCAUGAAGCUGGAAUUACUAGUAAUCGUGGAUCAGCGUGCCACGGUGAAUGCGUUCCCGGGUCUUGUACACACCGCCCGUCACACCAUGGGAGUUGGUUCUACCUUAAGGCAAGGUUUAAAACCCUUGACCACGGUAUAGUCAGCGACUGGGGUGAAGUCGUAACAAGGUAGCCGUAGGGGAACCUGCGGCUG